rnacentral:lncRNA from 1 species
AUAUCUUGACUUGCAUCAAGAGAUUGUCAAUGACGGUCGGUUUAGAACAAAGGUUUACAACAAUUCAGAACUUUCCCUUUAUAUGUAGCUAAACUUCCUCAGCGCAGGCAUAUGGAGUAUAUUUCCACCAGUUGAUACUGUAUUCACACAAGGAGCUUUUAAACAAAGGGUUUCAAUUGUUGAAGUUGAACUCCGAACAUCUGAAAACUGUGCGGACACCAUCAGGAGUUGGUUUAUCGUUAUUGAAUAUCUAUUUCACAGAUGACGCCAGAUAUCGUCCAAUUAAUGUAACCACACUCUCAUCCUCUAUUCUUCAAAUUGGCAUGAGCAACAUAACAAGUGGCGCAUGCAAAGUAUGAUCAGCUUCCUUCCCGGAGCACAUCCGAUCAACUUAGGAGUUUGUAGGGUUCGUUGUUGAUAUGUCGUUAGUUUUUUUAUGUUGCGUUUUGUAUACAAAUGUUUGACAUUUUCUGUGUUUUUCUUUUUCUCUUUUUUUUUGUCAUGACGUUGUCAGUUUAUUUUGCCUCAUGAGUUUGUAUGUCCCUCUUGUAUCUUUCGCAUCUCUUAUAUUACUACUGCAAUAUAUGGGCAUAUUGCAGUAUAAAUGUAAAUAUUCAUGGAACAUAGAUUUGUUG